rnacentral:rRNA from 1 species
UACAGAGGUCCCAAGCGUUGUUCGGAAUUACUGGGCGUAAAGGGCGCGUAGGCGGCGCAACAAGUCACUUGUGAAAUCUCCGGGCUUAACCCGGAGCGGUCAAGUGAUACUGUCGUGCUAGAGUGCGGAAGGGGCUACUGGAAUUCUCGGUGUAGCGGUGAAAUGCGUAGAUAUCGAGAGGAACACCUGCGGCGAAGGCGGGUAGCUGGGCCGACACUGACGCUGAUGCGCGAAAGCCAGGGGAGCGAACGGG